GAUGAACGCUAGCGGCAGGCUUAAUACAUGCAAGUCGAGGGGCAGCACGGGUAGCAAUACCUGGUGGCGACCGGCAAACGGGUGCGGAACACGUACGCAACCUUCCCAAAACUGGUGAAUAGCCCUCCAAAAGGAGGAUUAAUACACCGUAACAUAUAAAGAUGGCAUCACCUUUAUAUUAUAGCUCCGGCGGUUUUGGAUGGGCGUGCGCCUGAUUAGGUAGUUGGCGGGGUAACGGCCCACCAAGCCUGCAAUCAGUAACUGGUGUGAGAGCACGACCAGUCACACGGGCACUGAAACACGGGCCCAACUCCUACGGGAGGCAGCAGUAAGGAAUAUUGGUCAAUGGACGCAAGUCUGAACCAGCCAUGCCGCGUGAAGGAUGACGGCCCUCUGGGUUGUAAACUUCUUUUAUCUGGGACAAAAAAAGGGAAUUCUUUCCCACUUGACGGUACCAAAGGAAUAAGCACCGGCUAACUCCGUG
rnacentral:rRNA from 1 species